rnacentral:rRNA from 1 species
AUACGGAGGAUCCGAGCGUUAUCCGGAUUUAUUGGGUUUAAAGGGUGCGCAGGCGGGAGAUUAAGUCGGCGGUGAAAUUUUGCAGCUCAACUGUAAAAGUGCCUUCGAAACUGGUUUCCUUGAGUGUAGAUGAAGUAGGCGGAAUUUGUGGUGUAGCGGUGAAAUGCAUAGAUAUCACGAGGAACUCCGAUUGCGCAGGCAGCUUACUAAACUACUACUGACGCUCAGGCACGAAGGCGUGGGGAUCAAACAGGAUUAGAUACCCCGGUAGUCCACGCAGUAAACGAUGAUUACUAGCUGUUUGCGAUACAAUGUAAGCGGCUGAGCGAAAGCGUUAAGUAAUCCACCUGGGGAGUACGUUCGCAAGAAUGAAACUCAAAGGAAUUGGCGGGG